UUACAGCCAUAUCAUGUUGAAACACUAGUUCUUGUAGGACCACCAAAGUUAAGCAAUGUCAAGCCUGGUCAGUACUUAAGUGUGUGACCACUUGAGAAUACCAGGUGCUGUA